rnacentral:misc_RNA from 1 species
CGCGACUCGCUUCGGGAAAUCGGGUUGCGACUCGCUGAUUUAGCUCGGUCAGUAAACGUUCGAUUCGCUUUCCGUGGGGUGGCAGCUGCGCGGCUGGAGGACGUGAAGCCGUGGAUGUUGCAGGUGAAUCCUAAAGAAGCGGUGGCAGUCAAUUCAAUCAUGCAACUACACAAGUUGUUGGCGUCUGACCCAACCCGAAACCCAGCAAUCGAUAUUGUCCUGAAUUGGAUCCGGAACCUGAACCUGAAAAUUAUGACCGCAGUUGAGCAAGAGGCAGAUCACAACCAAUCGGGGUUUUUAGACCGUUUUACCGAAGCUUUAUAUUACUACUCAACGAUGUUUGAUUCGCUGGAGGCUUGCGCCCAUCACCCAGAGAAAGUUUUAGCCGAGAUGUACAUACAGAGAGAGAUAUGCAACGUGGUGAGCUGUGAGGGUUCAGCUCGGGUAGAGCGGCACGAGCCGCUGGCUAAGUGGAGAACUCGGCUUACAGGGGCGGGGUUCAGGCCGCUGCAUUUGGGGUCAAACGCGUUCAAGCAAGCGAGUAUGCUAUUGACAUUGUUCUCAUCGGAAGGGUACAGUGUGGAGGAGAAUGAAGGUUGCCUUACUCUGGGGUGGCACAGCCGCCCUCUGAUUGCUGCUUCGGCUUGGCAGGCAGUGCCCGAUGGUGAGCCAGCCCUCGGUGUAAUCGAUAAUAAUGGUGUUGUGCUGUAAAUUUUAUAAUAGUAUUUUGAGGUAUUUUUGGGGUUAACAAUUUUCAAUUCCUCUUGUACUGAUUCCAUGAAAU